rnacentral:rRNA from 1 species
UACGUAGGGCGCAAGCGUUGUCCGGAAUUAUUGGGCGUAAAGAGCUUGUAGGCGGCCAGUUGCGUCCGCUGUGAAAUCCCGGGGCUUAACCCCGGGCGUGCAGUGGAUACGGGCUGGCUAGAGGCAGGCAGGGGAGAACGGAAUUCCCGGUGUAGCGGUGAAAUGCGCAGAUAUCGGGAGGAACACCGGUGGCGAAGGCGGUUCUCUGGGCCUGUACUGACGCUGAGGAGCGAAAGCGUGGGGAGCAAACAGG